rnacentral:ncRNA from 17 species
CAUGGAGCCGGGUGCAACUCCCGGCUGGCUGUUCCGGCCGCCGAUCCGCCGGACAACC